CCUUCGAUAGCUCAGUUGGUAGAGCGUGGGACUGUAAUGGAAAAAGGCACUUCAGUGCAUCCCAAGGUCGUCGGCUCGAAUCCGGCUCGAAGGA